GUGAGUCAUCGAAUCUUUGAACGCAACUUGCGCUCUCUGGUAUUCCGGAGAGCAUGCCUGUUUGAGUGUCAUGAAAUCUCAACCAUUAGGGUUUCUUAAUGGCUUGGAUUUGGAGGUUGCCAUUCUGAAUGGCUCCUCUCAAAAGAGUUAGCGAGUUUAACUAUUGCUAUCUGGCGUAAUAAGUUUCGCUGGAAUGGUAUUGUGAAGCGCGCUUCUAAUCGUCUUCGGACAAUUACUUUGACUCUGGCCUCAAAUCAGGUAGGACUACCCGCUGAACUUAAGCAUAUCAAUAAGCGGAGGA
rnacentral:misc_RNA from 1 species